UGAGCAACCUGCCCUUGACCCUGGAAUAACAGCUAGAAACAGCUGCUAAUACCGGAUACGACCUCCGAUGGCAUCAUCUGGAGGUGGAAAGCUCCGACGGUCAAGGAUGGGCUCGCGGCCUAUCAGCUUGUUGGUGAGGUAACGGCUCACCAAGGCUUCGACGGGUAGCCGGCCUGAGAGGGCGACCGGGCCACACUGGGACUGAGAUACGGCCCAGACCUCCGUAGGGA
rnacentral:rRNA from 1 species